rnacentral:rRNA from 1 species
UUAACACAUGCAAGUCGAGGGGCAGCAUGGUCUUCUUUUGCUAAGGCCGAUGGCGACCGGCGCACGGGUGAGUAACACGUAUCCAACCUGCCGUCUACUCUUGGACAGCCUUCUGAAAGGAAGAUUAAUACAAGAUGGCAUCAUGAGUCCGCAUGUUCACAUGAUUAAAGGUAUUCCGGUAGACGAUGGGGAUGCGUUCCAUUAGAUAGUAGGCGGGGUAACGGCCCACCUAGUCUUCGAUGGAUAGGGGUUCUGAGAGGAAGGUCCCCCACAUUGGAACUGAGACACGGUCCAAACUCCUACGGGAGGCAGCAGUGAGGAAUAUUGGUCAAUGGGCGAGAGCCUGAACCAGCCAAGUAGCGUGAAGGAUGGCUGCCCUAUGGGUUGUAAACUUCUUUUAUAAAGGAAUAAAGUCGGGUAUGGAUACCCGUUUGCAUGUACUUUAUGAAUAAGGAUCGGCUAACUCCGUGCCAGCAGCCGCGGUAAUACGGAGGAUCCGAGCGUUAUCCGGAUUUAUUGGGUUUAAAGGGAGCGUAGAUGGAUGUUUAAGUCAGUUGUGAAAGUUUGCGGCUCAACCGUAAAAUUGCAGUUGAUACUGGAUAUCUUGAGUGCAGUUGAGGCAGGCGGAAUUCGUGGUGUAGCGGUGAAAUGCUUAGAUAUCACGAAGAACUCCGAUUGCGAAGGCAGCCUGCUAAGCUGCAACUGACAUUGAGGCUCGAAAGUGUGGGUAUCAAACAGGAUUAGAUACCCUGGUAGUCCACACGGUAAACGAUGAAUACUCGCUGUUUGCGAUAUACUGCAAGCGGCCAAGCGAAAGCGUUAAGUAUUCCACCUGGGGAGUACGCCGGCAACGGUGAAACUCAAAGGAAUUGACGGGGGCCCGCACAAGCGGAGGAACAUGUGGUUUAAUUCGAUGAUACGCGAGGAACCUUACCCGGGCUUAAAUUGCAGAUGAAUUACGGUGAAAGCCGUAAGCCGCAAGGCAUCUGUGAAGGUGCUGCAUGGUUGUCGUCAGCUCGUGCCGUGAGGUGUCGGCUUAAGUGCCAUAACGAGCGCAACCCUUGUUGUCAGUUACUAACAGGUUCCGCUGAGGACUCUGACAAGACUGCCAUCGUAAGAUGUGAGGAAGGUGGGGAUGACGUCAAAUCAGCACGGCCCUUACGUCCGGGGCUACACACGUGUUACAAUGGAGGGUACAGAGGGCCGCUACCACGCGAGUGGAUGCCAAUCCCCAAAACCUCUCUCAGUUCGGACUGGAGUCUGCAACCCGACUCCACGAAGCUGGAUUCGCUAGUAAUCGCGCAUCAGCCACGGCGCGGUGAAUACGUUCCCGGGCCUUGUACACACCGCCCGUCAGGCCAUGGGAGCCGGGGGUACCUGAAGUGCGUAACCGCGAGGAGCGCCCUAGGGUAAAACUGGUGACUGG